UCGAAAUUUAAAAUACUAUCGGUAACCAAAGCAAUAUGAAAACAUCCCAAUAUAAUAGGCUCACUAACUGUAUCAUAGUCACUCGCAAUUUACAUGGUAGAAACUAGCAUAUUCAUACGCUGAGGCCACCUGGGAGAGAUCACCGGUGCUAACAAAUUCAAUAUUCAUACAGAGACUAUAUUCAUAUAGAGAGCAAAGCAAAUAGUUGCUAGUUCAGUAGUUUAUAGUUUAUACGUGGUGCCUGUCUGUACGACUCUAUCUCUGUUGAUGCCGUCGCCGAUCUGGGAGGCCACGACGCUGCGGCGUUUUUGGGAGGGCGAGAGGGGAGGGCGAGGGCGUGAUGCCGACGCACGGCUUGCAAGGCACGACGGCGAUUCAGCUAGGACGAAGACGACGAGUCAGCCAUGGACGACCGGAUGAGAGUUGAGAGAGGCUGGAACUGGACCUGGGAAUGGGAGCGUCCGCACGUUCGACUCUGCUGGGUGCCGCGGUCGCCGCCCACCGACGGACCCUGCAGCUUGCUCUACUGUAGCCGCCACCCGUCGGAACCCUAGCUCCAUGGCUGCGCUGCGUGGGCGAGAGACUAGCGAGAGAAGCCACUAUCGUUGACGGUCAGCAUUCAGCCCCCUAGCUAAUUGCUGUUUUCUACGAUGUGUCGUUGUUUGUCAAACGUUCAACCAUAAGCUAUUUCCCAUACUGUAGCCCCACUAGUUAAGUGUU
rnacentral:lncRNA from 1 species